rnacentral:rRNA from 1 species
GUGCACGCUGGCGGUAGGCCUCACACCUGCAAGUCGCACGGCAGCACAGUAAGAGCUUGCUCUUACGGGUGGCGAGUGGCGGACGGGUGAGGAAUACAUCGGAAUCUACUUUUUCGUGGGGGAUAACGUAGGGAAACUUACGCUAAUACCGCAUACGACCUACGGGUGAAAGCAGGGGAUCUUCGGACCUUGCGCGAUUGAAUGAGCCGAUGUCGGAUUAGCUAGUUGGCGGGGUAACGGCCCACCAAGGCGACGAUCCGUAGCUGGUCUGAGAGGAUGAUCAGCCACACUGGAACUGAGACACGGUCCAGACUCCUACGGGAGGCAGCAGUGGGGAAUAUUGGACAAUGGGCGCAAGCCUGAUCCAGCCAUACCGCGUGGGUGAAGAAGGCCUUCGGGUUGUAAAGCCCUUUUGUUGGGAAAGAAAAGCAGCAGGUUAAUACCCCGCUGUUCUGACGGUACCCAAAGAAUAAGCACCGGCUAACUUCGUG